rnacentral:rRNA from 1 species
UGACUGGAGGAAUUGGGGGUUGUCUACUUCUGACCUAUUCUCAAACUUUUAAUGGGUAUGCUGCAGUGGUUGCUUCACUGAACCUGCAAGAAAUUCCGUGUUCAAGUGGGCCACUUUUGGUAAGCAGAACUGGCGAUGAGGGGUGAACCUGAUGAUUGGUUGAGGCACUCAACUUCGUGCUCAUCAGAUACCUGAAGGGUGUUGGCUCAUUUUGACAGCAGGACGGUGGUCAUGGAAGUCGAAAUCCGCUUGG